rnacentral:rRNA from 1 species
UACGGAAGGCAGCAGUGGGGAAUAUUGCACAAUGGGCGCAAGCCUGAUGCAGCCAUGCCGCGUGUAUGAAGAAGGCCUUCGGGUUGUAAAGUACUUUCAGUCGUGAGGAAGGUGUUAAGGUUAAUAACCUUAGCAAUUGACGUUAGCGACAGAAGAAGCACCGGCUAACUCCGUGCCAGCAGCCGCGGUAAUACGGAGGGUGCGAGCGUUAAUCGGAAUUACUGGGCGUAAAGGGCACGCAGGCGGUUAAUUAAGUUGGAUGUGAAAUCCCCGGGCUUAACCUGGGAAUGGCAUUCAAGACUGGUUAGCUAGAGUCUUGUAGAGGGGGUAGAUUCCAUGUGUAGCGGUGAAAUGCGUAGAGAUGUGGAGGAAUACCGGUGGCGAAGGCGGCCCCUGGGACAAAGGACUGACGCUCAUGUGCGAAAGCGUGGGGA